GGGCCGGUAGCUCAGCCUGGUAGAGCACCUGACUUUUAAUCAGGUGGUCGCGAGACUUUAAAAAGCGCGAAUUCAAAUCUCGUCCGGCCCA
rnacentral:tRNA from 1 species